rnacentral:rRNA from 1 species
UACGGAGGGUGCAAGCGUUGUUCGGAUUCACUGGGUAUAAAGGGUGCGUAGGCGGCCUUGUAAGUCAGAGGUGAAAGCUGCCGGCUUAACUGGCAAAUUGCCUUUGAGACUGCAAGGCUUGAGUCCGGGAGAGGAAGGCGGAAUUCCAGGUGUAGCGGUGAAAUGCGUAAAUAUCUGGAGGAACACCGGUGGCGAAGGCGGCCUUCUGGUCCGGUACUGACGCUGAGGCACGAAAGCCAGGGGAGCAAACGGGAUUAGAAACCCCAGUAGUCC